GGGCCUUUAAUUAAGCCUUAGCCUUCCAAAGGUAUGUUUGAUUUAUGUAUGAUCUGAAUUCUUUUCAAAUAUUUGAAAGAGAUAGGCAAAUAAUUCAUUUAGGACCUUGUCUUUGAAAUGCAUUGGAGUUUAAGUCACAAAUCAAGGUGAUUGUGAGUCCAAUAGUAUUUGAGUUGGCUUCCUAGUGAUGAUGAUUUGAAGGCCCUAAUGAAUAAAUCCAAUGAGAAGUCUGGUGGAGGAUCUAGGAAAGGAAAGAACAAAGGCCACAACAUGAAAAUGUUACAUCAUAUGCAUAAAUCUUCCAGGUAUGUACAUCAUGCACGAAAAUAAUUAAUUUAUGUAUGUUUUUAUACUUUCACUACAACAAAACAAGGUUUAACCGAUGCUUUGGUGGGAUCAUUUGCCAGCGCCAGGUAAAACCGGGCGAAGCAACCAGAGUACGUGGCACAAUCACUCUUGGUCUCCCUCUCUCAGGGUUUAUAUAGGUAGAGAAAAGGAGCAAAGAAUCAAGCAACCCCUGUUGCCGGAAAAAGAGAUGGCAUAGGAGAUCUCUCUUCUCGUCAGAUCUGCUGAGAUGGGAAUGAGAUCUCUCCUCUUCUUUAAAGCUCAUCUAGUAAGCUCAAAUUUGGGACAAGUGAGAGACAGUGGGUUGAAGCCCAAGUUGAAAAUGCUAAGCACCAGGCUAUUCUUGCGGCACUUAAAUCUCAAGUAUCAUCUGAUGAAGCUCACAUUCAUCAUGAUCUUCAUUCUCUUCGGUGCUUCUUUUCACUGGAUGAUAUUCCUGGCAAGCACUCUGUGGACAUAAUAUGUCUAGCUGAUGAUCAUCACAGAUUUAUUGUUCUCCAAAUACAUGUACAAAC